AGGGUUUUUCCCUUACCUGAACGAAACCCUCAUUUCUGGAAUGAUCUACAAAAGGAGUGGUGGGGAGCGGCGAAGCGUCUCCUUGGGCCGGACGACGAUUUGAGGAAUGAAUCAUAGCCACAAGUUUAAACGCCGAUUCCAAUUUAAGAGCUUCAAAUUCCCUCUGUUUUCCCUCUUCCCCAGUUCCUUUCUCGAUCUUGGGUUAGGGUUUGGUUUCUUCUCCUCUUCUCCAUGGAGAAUCCUAUCCUGAGGCUGGUCGUGGAGAAUGGCCCGAAGGAGGGCGAGAUGCUGGAGUGCAAGCCCGGAGCCCGCACCCGCAUUGGCCGUGUCGUGAAGGGCAAUACCUUCGCCAUCCGGGACCCCGGUGUCUCCCAAAAGCACCUCGCCUUCGAGUUUCUCCGCGAGACCUCCCGGUGGGUCGUCUCCGACCUCGAUACUUCCAAUGGCACCAUCGUCAACGAUGCCAAUAUCCGGCCCUCCAUCCCGUUCCCCCUCUCCGACGGCGAUUCCAUCAAGAUCGGCGAGACGACCUCCAUCUCCGUCAGGAUCGCUGGAGAAGAGCCCCAUAUUGAUGCGGCGGCGGCGGAGGGGGAGGAGAGGACUGGGGUGCGGCGGCAAGGGAGGCGGAGGGGAGCGCCUCCGGCCAGACCUGGGGCCGAGCGGCCCUCGGAUGCGACCGUGGACGUGGGCAGUGAAGCGCUGGCGAUAAAUGGUGGGAGGGCGAGAGGGAGAUCGAGGAAGACUGCUGCUUCUGCUACGGUUCCGAAGAAAGAUGAUAUCUUGGAUGCGGUGUUGGAGGAGGAGAGUGCUGAAGCGCUGAAGAAUGCAGGGAAGGGGAGAGGGAGAAGAAGGCCUGCGAUGAGGGCUGCUUCUGCUAGGGUUUCAAAGGAGGAGGAGGAAGAUGAGGAGGUGAGGCCGCUGGGUUUAGUUCCGGUGUCUAAUUUGGAGUCUGUAGAAGCUGCUGCAAAGGGGGAUAUUUUGAGGCUGGAAGCUAGUAAAUCUUGUGAAGCGUUGAAAUUGGCUGAGAGUGGAGCAGGGGAGGUGAGGCAAGAGGAGGGAGAAGAAAAUAUGGAUAAGAUGACGCUAGGGGACUGGUUUGAUCGGAUGGAGAAGUCCUCGCCCCUGAUGAUUAAUGAUAUAUCUGAGGAAAUCAUUUCAAGCUUGAGGGACAAAGCUUGGCGGUUCGAUGAUUUCGUAGCUCAAAGUGUGCAUGCCGGCUAAUUCACAUGGAUAGCAGCCAACUCAUGGUGAUUCUGUGAAGGUUCUUGACAUGCUUCUCCAGCUGGCUUGGUUAACUUAACAAUCAGAGGCAUUGAAUAAGAAUUGUUGCAUGCGUUUGGGUUGGAACUAUAGAUUCUUGUUUCCAAUUCUACAUAGAACAUCCACAAACUUAUUGAAAAGCAGGAUUGAUCAUUUCAAUUAGUACUAUGUUAGAGGAAGGCAAGUCAUAAUCAAACAGUAAUUCUUAUUGGUGGACCUAUCUCUGACUGAUAAUUGGAAGGAAAUGUAAAUACAGUUAAGAAGGAUCAAGAAAUCCUACAAUAUUUCAGGCAGCAUUUAUUCUUUUUGCGACAUGAUGAUUACAUGCAAUAAAAUUCAUAGCAAUAGAUGUUGCGGUUUUGGUUUGCCUAGGACACUACUUGAGAGGUAUAAUACAAUAGGUCUGGAGAUUCCUUUUUCAACUAAAAUGCAUCUUGGGCUUCUCUCAAAAGUGGAGCAAACUUCCACCAAUCUCCACUACUGCAGACAUCCAUCUAGAAGUGAACCAAUUCAUACUUGGCUGGUAACUGUUCCUAUAUUACACGCUUCUUUUUCUUUGUUUUAGUGUUUUCACAGGCAUAGAUCUUUAAAAAGUACUUUUUGCCGUUUUCCUUUCUACAUCAAAUUCGCAUAAAGCUAUCUUUCAUUAGACAGCAGCAGCAGCUUCUAAGCUGCAGCUUGGCAAGUGGCAAGUCAAUGUUCCCAAUCUCUUAGUCCAAUCAAGAUUGAGAUGAAGCUAACUAAUUUAGUGAUCCCUAUAUGAUUUUCUUCCGGGCAUACAUCAGAAAUUUCCUUUUCUUGAAAUCAUAACCCAUAGAUUUCACAUAAGACCAUGUCCAGUUCAUUCAACAUGGACAAAUUCCACUUCAAGGGUUCACGAAUUUUGAUUUCAUACUUCUGAUCUGAUUCAAAGACCAACCUACAAAACU